rnacentral:rRNA from 1 species
UACAGAGGGUGCAAGCGUUGUUCGGAAUUACUGGGCGUAAAGCGCGCGCAGGCGGCUAUUUAAGUCUGGUGUUUAAACCUUGGGCUCAACCUAAGGUCGCACUGGAAACUGGGUGGCUUGAGUACAGAAGAGGAAAGUGGAAUUCCACGUGUAGCGGUGAAAUGCGUAGAUAUGUGGAGGAACACCAGUGGCGAAGGCGACUUUCUGGGCUGUAACUGACGCUGAGGCGCGAAAGCGUGGGGGAGCAAACAGG